UGCAGUCGACGGUGAAGCCCAGCUUGCUGGGUGGAUCAGUGGCGAACGGGUGAGUAACACGUGAGUAACCUGCCCCUGACUCUGGGAUAAGCCUUGGAAACGAGGUCUAAUACCGGAUACGUGACGCUCAGGCAUCUGAUGCGUCUGGAAAGAUUUAUCGGUCAGGGAUGGACUCGCGGCCUAUCAGCUUGUUGGUGGGGUAACGGCCCACCAAGGCGACGACGGGUAGCCGGCCUGAGAGGGCGACCGGCCACACUGGGACUGAGACACGGCCCAGACUCCUACGGGAGGCAGCAGUGGGGAAUAUUGCACAAUGGGCGCAAGCCUGAUGCAGCGACGCCGCGUGAGGGAUGAAGGCCUUCGGGUUGUAAACCUCUUUCAGCAGGGAAGAAGCGCAAGUGACGGUACCUGCAGAAGAAGCGCCGGCUAACUACGUGCCAGCAGCCGCGGUAAUACGUAGGGCGCAAGCGUUGUCCGGAAUUAUUGGGCGUAAAGAGCUCGUAGGCGGUUUGUCGCGUCUGCUGUGAAAACUCGAGGCUCAACCUCGGGCUUGCAGUGGGUACGGGCAGACUAGAGUGCGGUAGGGGAGACUGGAAUUCCUGGUGUAGCGGUGGAAUGCGCAGAUAUCAGGAGGAACACCGAUGGCGAAGGCAGGUCUCUGGGCCGCAACUGACGCUGAGGAGCGAAAGCAUGGGGAGCGAACAGGAUUAGAUACCCUGGUAGUCCAUGCCGUAAACGUUGGGCACUAGGUGUGGGGCUCAUUCCACGA
rnacentral:rRNA from 1 species